AACGAACGCUGGCGGCAUGCCUAACACAUGCAAGUCGAACGAGACCUUCGGGUCUAGUGGCGCACGGGUGCGUAACGCGUGGGAACCUGCCCUUAGGUUCGGAAUAACUCCCCGAAAGGGGUGCUAAUACCGGAUAAUGUCUUCGGACCAAAGAUUUAUCGCCUUUGGAUGGGCCCGCGUUGGAUUAGCUAGUUGGUAGGGUAAAAGCCUACCAAGGCGACGAUCCAUAGCUGGUCUGAGAGGAUGAUCAGCCACACUGGGACUGAGACACGGCCCAGACUCCUACGGGAGGCAGCAGUGGGGAAUAUUGGACAAUGGGCGAAAGCCUGAUCCAGCAAUGCCGCGUGAGUGGUGAAGGCCUUAGGGUUGUAAAGCUCUUUUACCCGGGAUGAUAAUGACAGUACCGGGAGAAUAAGCGCCGGCUAACUCCGUA
rnacentral:rRNA from 1 species